GUAACCAUGACUGGAAGAAAAAACUGUGGAGGAGGCUGAAGUGAUGAAUGGUGUGAAGAUGGAUGUCAAAGAAAGUUAAAAAACUAAGGACUGACCCAAGAAGUAUGACUCGCAUCUGGAUUUUAGGAGUUUAAAGUAGGUCCACAACCGGAGGUGACUGGAGCCAAACCUGAAGCUGCUGCUGUCCUUUUGAGCCUGAUAGCAGCUGCAUGAGAAAUACCUGACUUUCCCUUCUGGCUCCAUGGGAUGUGCACACACUCAGAGGAAGCAGAUCAUCGCUCUUCAAAGUCUAUGUACACCACGCAAAGCCAAAAGUAGUGGCCCGGGUGAGUUAAAUGGUUCCUCAGAUGGGAUGUAUACUUUGCAUAUUGGCAAGUGGUAUUUUUCCUGAAUCACCUCCUGAAGGUGUGUUUUUUGUCUUUAUUGACAAUGUAGGGAACCUAGGGAAAUUGUGUCUGAAUUUAGCUAAGUUAAGUGUCUAGAGUUGGGUGAUGUGAAUACCUCUUUCAGUCAUAAAAGCAGAACAUAGAUGUUCAUUUAAAUUGUAG